GAGGAGGCCAGAAAGGAUGUCAUACAGGGUACUUACUCCUUCAAUGAGUCCAUUUUGAUUGCAGAUCUGAAGACAUUUCUUCAAAAUGGCAAGUGAGGUGAUUUAUGCAGAGGUAUCACGUGAGGAAAGAAUGCGUUUUACUUCACAAAAUUCAGACGCAGGUGAUCAGAUCACCUAUGCUGAGGUGAAAGUGAAAUGGAAAUCUGACAACACCAACAAUACAUCCACGUCUACACAUACAACAGUGGCCUGCUAUGAGAGCAAACACUGGUGUUAUGUUGCCAUCAUCCUGUACUUCGUUGCAGUGAUUCUGCUCAUCUGUGUGAUCCUUUUAGCUGUGAAAUGUAAUAAUUCCUGAGGCAGAUGGUGCAGUCCAGUUAACAAACAGAGUAAGACAUUUUUAUCCU
rnacentral:lncRNA from 1 species